GUGUUGCUGAAUCUUGUGGCUGGGGCUUGCUGGGAGCAAACGCAUCUCCAGGGUUCUUGCACUGACACGUCCCUUCCCUCCAUCACAGCUUCUGGGAUCAGCAUCGGGGUUGUGGAGAACUUGAGAGCCAGGUUUUCCUCCUCGGUGGCCCUGGAGCAGGGGCCCUCCACGGAGCACCAGCUCACCCCUUCUCACCCAGCUUCAGAAAGCACUGCCACGGCCAUUGGAAGCAGCUACCAGCCAUCCGACGUCUCGGCCGUGGAGAGGAGAGUUUCGGAUUUCCCCACGGCUGGCACCUCUGUUUCCACAACAGCCACCAAGGGUGGAGGGAGGACGUUGAGGUCUCUGCCAGCCAGCACCAGGCUGGCCAAUGCAGCAGAGGUUUCCACCUCUGGUACCGAAAUCGCCAGCUCCUCGGACCAGACCCAGUCCCCUGGGAUGUCUCUGAGACCCCAGGGUGGUGGUGGCAGAAGUGCCACAGACCCAUUGCUCACGAACUCGCCGCCUGCUUCGGAAAGCGCUUCCACAACCUUUAGCAGCAAUUACGAACCCAAGAGCAUCCCAGCUGCAGAAGAGGCGCCGCUGCACUCAAAUGCCCGUGGUGCUGACAUGCCCAGUGUGGCAGCAGGGACGCCGGGGUCCCCUGCAAACGGCCGCACAGACGGGGUGACAAGGGGCUCUGCCACCAGCACCGACCCCACCAGCUCUUGGAGAGAGACCUUCUCCUCCCCGGAGGCUGGAACACACCGUCCUAAUGGCUCCCGGGAAGCCACCCAUCUCCCAGCGCCUCCUGGGGAGCCUUUGCUCACAAGCUCGGUCUCUGCCUCCCAAAAUACUUCCAGAGGUAAAUUUGUUAGGCUGAAAGUUGGCUGCUUUGGGGCUGGAGGAGAUUUCGUGUCCCCGCGCUGUUUUUCUUUAGAUACGGCCGUCAGUCGCUAUUGGAUACGUGG
rnacentral:lncRNA from 1 species